rnacentral:sRNA from 1 species
UUUGUGCGACAAUGCUUCAAUCCAUGAUCGUCGAGCUUGCGGAAAAAGCAAUGAAAGAAUAUGGAGAGGAUCCAAAAAUCGAAACAAACAAAUUCGCUGCGAUAUGUACACAUCUGGAAGUGUGUUUCAUGUAUUCAGAUUUCCACUUCAUUGAUGAACGAGGUGAAUCGAUAAUUGUAGAGUCUGGUGAUCCAAAUGCACUCUUGGAAAGGUCUGCAGGACAUUACUAGCAAAGUCUGUAUUCAACAGUUUGUAUGCAUCCCCACAACUUGAGGGAUUUUCAGCUGAGUCAAGGAAGCUGCUUCUUAUUGUUCAGGCACUUAGGGACAACCUGGAACCUGGUACUUUCGAUCUUGGGGGCUAUAUGAAGCAAUUGAGGAGUGCCUGAUUAAUGAUCCCUGGGUUUUGCUUAAUGCAUCUUGGUUCAACUCCUUCCUUACACAUGCACUGAAAUAGCUGUGGCAAUGCUACUAUUUGCUAUCCAUAUUGUCCAAAAAAGUACCUUGUUUCUACU